rnacentral:rRNA from 1 species
AUUCCUACGGGACGCAGCAGUGAGGAAUAUUGGUCAAUGGACGAAAGUCUGAACCAGCCAUGCCGCGUGCAGGAUGACGGCUCUAUGAGUUGUAAACUGCUUUUGUAUUAGGGUAAACACCCCUACGUGUAGGGGCUUGAAAGUAUAAUACGAAUAAGGAUCGGCUAACUCCGUGCCAGCAGCCGCGGUAAUACGGAGGAUCCAAGCGUUAUCCGGAUUUAUUGGGUUUAAAGGGUGCGUAGGCGGGACCUUAAGUCAGCGGUAAAAUUGCGGUGCUCAACGCCGUAGAGCCGUUGAAACUGGGG